AUGUCUCGACUGCACCUUAUCCUCAUCCUCUCAAUCAUCAAAGUAACCCAAAGAAACUAAAGGAUAUAAUUGAAGCUGUUUCCCUUCAUUGUAUAAAUCCCCCACACAGCACAAAAACCAGAGAGUCCAACAAAGUGGCUGAUAAAUGAGACAACCAAUCCAUUCCAGCAUCAUUCAAAGCAUGCAGCAUCUUUCCAUUCUAGAUUUCGAACCAACAUGUAACAAAUAGAGACAUCACUACUAUAAAUGCUUUGGAGAGCACUGAUGCUGUUAUCUUUUCUCUUCCUUAAUGUUUCUAGUUCAAGUUUGAAGGCAAAGGAUGAUCAAAGAAGUCUCUGCUGAUAUACCAAAGAAUAGGAAAGCACACAGGAUGAGGUUAAGUUUCAUGCCAAUGCUUGAUGUUCUUCUUAUUUCAGUUCUGCAAUUUGAAUUCGUGGAAGGUGCCUCGUGAGAUUUCUCAUUGGAAAUGCAUCCCUGAUCAUUGUUACAGAAGACUCUGAGUUGCUAUCGGUACCUGCGAGCUAAGCAAGAUUACUGUGGUGCCGAGUGGAGAGAAGAAGCUUCAGGAGUGUGUGAGUGAGUGACAUGGAUGGCAAACGCAAGAUGAUUCGAUCACAGGGGAGUAGCUGGAAUGCUUUUGUCUCGAGCUAUUUCAGCGCCAAAUCAUUUCUGAUGCUUUUAUCGGUCAUGACGUCGUUGAUUUUUCUUCCUCUUGUUCUACCUCCAAUGCCUCCACCUCCAUUGUCGUUGCUGUUAGUUCCUAUAGGUAUAUUUCUUGUACUACUGAUCUUGGCUUUCAUGCCACCCUCUGGUGUUCAAAGCAUCACCUCCUCUUGCUUAUAAAAAAGUCGGAACCGAGUUUUGUUUCA